AGAGUUUGAUCCUGGCUCAGAUUGAACGCUAGCGGCAGGCUUAAUACAUGCAAGUCGUGGGGCAGCACAGGUAGCAAUACUGGGUGGCGACCGGCAAACGGGUGCGGAACACGUACGCAACCUUCCUUUAAGCGGGGAAUAGCCCAGGGAAACUUGGAUUAAUACCCCAUAAUAUCUUCUGGUGGCAUCACUGGAUUAUU
rnacentral:rRNA from 1 species